ACCUCCCGAGCUGGCUUGCAGUAAUAAAUGGAACCUGCUUCAGGUGCAGAAAGCUGGGAGGGGUCGAGGGGAGGAAUGCACAGGCUGAUUUACACCUGUCCCUACAGCUGCUAUCGACAACACUUACAGCCUCCAGAAAUGACCCUUGGUGCCGACUUGUCUGGAAGCCAUCAGGGUUAGUUUUGAAGCAGGAAUCUUCAAGUGGACCAGAGGGUUGUCUUCUGCUCCUGAUCUGGUUGGCUGGAGACACUUAGAAGCUAUGGCCUUUCACCUGUAAGAGUUUCAAUUUGCUUCAAGGAAUGAAGUAACAGCUGUGAAAGUUCUUUGUGAACCAUGAAGCAAUCCUGAUGUGUUGAUUUUUUUUUUCUCACUUCUUUCGUUAUUGGGUUAAGGACAGGAAUUGAGACAGGGUCUCUCUUUGUUGCCUAGGCUGGAGUGCAGUGGAACGAACUUGGCUUAUUGAAGCAUUGACCACCUGGACCCAAGUGAUUCUCCUACCUUAGCCUCUUGAAUAGCUGUGACAACAGGUGUGCACUACCACACCCAGAUAAAUUUUGUAAUUUUUAUAGAGAGGGCAUUUGACCAUGUUGCCCAGGCUGGUCUCAAACUCCUGAGCUCAAGUGAUACUCCUGCCUCGGCCUCCCAAAGUGCUGGGAUUACAGAUGAAGAAAAUGAGGCACUGAGAGAUUACAUAACUUCCCUUGAGUCAUAUUUGCUUGUAAGUGGUAAGGCUGGAUGUUGAACCCAGGACAAAGGGAGCCCAGUGGAGGAUCCCUGGAGGAGCAAAUAGAAGAAACCCAAAAGGGACUUGAAAGCGGGUCCCCUCCCUCACCUGGAUUCCCAGUCCGAAGAGGAGGAAGCAUCCGCCCUCCUUCCCUCCUUCUGACCCACCCAGCCACCCACCCAAGGUGCCAUUAAAGUUAAUUGU
rnacentral:lncRNA from 1 species